rnacentral:tRNA from 1 species
GGCCUGUUAGCUCAGUUGGUUAGAGCGUCGCGAAGGUCGCAGGUUCGAGACCUGCAUGGGCCA